GACGAACGCUGGCGGCGUGCCUAAUACAUGCAAGUAGAACGCUGAAGAGAGGAGCUUGCUCUUCUUGGAUGAGUUGCGAACGGGUGAGUAACGCGUAGGUAACCUGCCUUGUAGCGGGGGAUAACUAUUGGAAACGAUAGCUAAUACCGCAUAACAAUGGAUGACACAUGUCAUUUAUUUGAAAGGGGCAAUUGCUCCACUACAAGAUGGACCUGCGUUGUAUUAGCUAGUAGGUGAGGUAACAGCUCACCUAGGCGACGAUACAUAGCCGACCUGAGAGGGUGAUCGGCCACACUGGGACUGAGACACGGCCCAGACUCCUACGGGAGGCAGCAGUAGGGAAUCUUCGGCAAUGGGGGCAACCCUGACCGAGCAACGCCGCGUGAGUGAAGAAGGUUUUCGGAUCGUAAAGCUCUGUUGUAAGUCAAGAACGAGUGUGAGAGUGGAAAGUUCACACUGUGACGGUAGCUUACCAGAAAGGGACGGCUAACUACGUGCCAGCAGCCGCGGUAAUACGUAGGUCCCGAGCGUUGCCCGGAUUUAUUGGGCGUAAAGCGAGCGCAGGCGGUUUGAUAAGUCUGAAGUUAAAGGCUGUGGCUCAACCAUAGUUCGCUUUGGAAACUGUCAAACUUGAGUGCAGAAGGGGAGAGUGGAAUUCCAUGUGUAGCGGUGAAAUGCGUAGAUAUAUGGAGGAACACCGGUGGCGAAAGCGGCUCUCUGGUCUGUAACUGACGCUGAGGCUCGAAAGCGUGGGGAGCGAACAGGAUUAGAUACCCUGGUAGUCCACGCCGUAAACGAUGAGUGCUAGGUGUUGGAUCCUUUCCGGGAUUCAGUGCCGCAGCUAACGCAUUAAGCACUCCGCCUGGGGAGUACGACCGCAAGGUUGAAACUCAAAGGAAUUGACGGGGGCCCGCACAAGCGGUGGAGCAUGUGGUUUAAUUCGAAGCAACGCGAAGGACCUUACCAGGUCUUGACAUCCCGAUGCUAUUUCUAGAGAUAGAAAGUUACUUCGGUACAUCGGUGACAGGUGGUGCAUGGUUGUCGUCAGCUCGUGUCGUGAGAUGUUGGGUUAAGUCCCGCAACGAGCGCAACCCCUAUUGUUAGUUGCCAUCAUUCAGUUGGGCACUCUAGCGAGACUGCCGGUAAUAAACCGGAGGAAGGUGGGGAUGACGUCAAAUCAUCAUGCCCCUUAUGACCUGGGCUACACACGUGCUACAAUGGUUGGUACAACGAGUUGCGAGUCGGUGACGGCAAGCUAAUCUCUUAAAGCCAAUCUCAGUUCGGAUUGUAGGCUGCAACUCGCCUACAUGAAGUCGGAAUCGCUAGUAAUCGCGGAUCAGCACGCCGCGGUGAAUACGUUCCCGGGCCU
rnacentral:rRNA from 1 species